UGGGGAAUAUUGCACAAUGUGGGAAACCCUGAUGCAGCGACGCCGCGUGAGCGAAGAAGGCUUUCGAGUCGUAAAGCUCUGUCCUAUGAGAAGAUAAUGACGGUAUCAUAGGAGGAAGCCCUGGCUAAAUACGUGCCAGCAGCCGCGGUAAUACGUAUGGGGCGAGCGUUGUCCGGAAUUAUUGGGCGUAAAGGGUACGUAGGCGGUUUUUUAAGUCAGGUGUCAAAGCGUGGAGCUUAACUCCAUUAAGCACUUGAAACUGAAAGACUUGAGUGAAGGAGAGGAAAGUGGAAUUCCUAGUGUAGCGGUGAAAUGCGUAGAUAUUAGGAGGAAUACCGGUGGCGAAGGCGACUUUCUGGACUUUUACUGACGCUCAGGUACGAAAGCGUGGGGAGCAAACAGG
rnacentral:rRNA from 1 species